GCUUGUUGGCGGGGUAAGAGCCCACCAAGGCUAUGACGGGUAGUUGGUCUGAGAGGACGACCAACCACACUGGGACUGAGACACGGCCCAGACUCCUACGGGAGGCAGCAGUGGGGAAUAUUGGGCAAUGGGCGAAAGCCUGACCCAGCGACGCCGCGUGGGUGAUGAAGGCCUUCGGGUUGUAAAGCCCUGUCAUGCGGAAAGAACAGUCUUACGGUUAAUACCCGUAGGAUUUGACGGUACCGCAGGAGGAAGCACCGGCUAACUCCGUGCCAGCAGCCGCGGUAAUACGGAGGGUGCAAGCGUUGUUCGGAAUUAUUGGGCGUAAAGGGCGCGUAGGCGGUAAUGAAAGUCAGAUGUGAAAUACUUCGGCUCAACUGAAGAACUGCAUCUGAAACUUCAUAACUAGAGUACGGAAGAGGGAAAUGGAAUUCCCGGUGUAGAGGUGAAAUUCGUAGAUAUCGGGAGGAACACCAGUGGCGAAGGCGAUUUCCUGGUCUGGUACUGACGCUGAGGCGCGAAAGUGUGGGGAGCAAACAGGAUUAGAUACCCUGGUAGUCCACACUGUAAACGGUGAACACUAGGGGUGGAAGGGGUAAUACCUUCUGUGCCGCAGCUAACGCGAUAAGUGUUCCGGCCUGGGAAGUACGGCCGCAAGGUUGAA
rnacentral:rRNA from 1 species